rnacentral:rRNA from 12 species
CCGUGGAGGGGGCCACGGCUAGAUCGAGUCCCAGCUCGCCCACCGAUAUUCCGCCAAGGGGUGCGUUCUCAGAGGUUGGCUGAGGUAUAGGGCCACUGUAGGGAGGAGGAAGGGGGGCAUUAUCCUCAAUGUUU